GACAGAGGGUGCAAACGUUGCUCGGAAUUACUGGGCGUAAAGCGUGCGCAGGCGGUUUUGUAAGUCUGUCGUGAAAUCCCCGGGCUCAACCUGGGAAUUGCGAUGGAGACUGCAAGGCUAGAAUCUGGCAGAGGGGGGUAGAAUUCCACGUGUAGCAGUGAAAUGCGUAGAUAUCUGGAGGAACACCGGUGGCGAAGGCGGCAUCCUGGACCGGUAUUGACGCUGAGGAGCGAAAGCGUGGGGAGCGAACAGG
rnacentral:rRNA from 1 species